UUUUAUUCCAGGUAGGCUUAAUCUGGGUCUAAAAAGUAUUGAACCAAAAAUCCUUUCAAGUGCUGAUGAGUCAUUUUUCUUCACACUGCUCUCAGAACGAGCACUGUUGAACGCCUGGUGCUGCAUUGCUGAAGUGUAUGACACAUUAUCUGCUGAGAAUAGCUACAUGUAUGUAGAGAGAUCAUGCACAGGCCCUUCUCACAUCUCAUCUUGGGGUAGUGAAAAGGGCACUCAACGUCUCCUGUCCGUUUUUCAUUGCUUAUGUCACCUUUUGGAAAAUAAUAGAUUCAAUCAGUGUUUUGGAAAAUAAUGGUGUUUUCUUAUAUCCAUUGUUGCUUUGCCCCAAAGAAGAGGUAGAAGAAGAAGCAGAAGACGAAGAAGAGUCUGAACAGGAAGUAGAAGCUGAAUCAGAAGAAACUCAGGAGGAAGCUCUUCAGGAAGAGCUUCCAGAGGAGGUAGAUGAAUUUGAUGAGCCAUUUGAGGAGUUCACAGAAGAACAUGCCGAGGUAGAAGAACAUAUUGAAGAUGCACCAACAGAAACGUAGAGCCUACGGUCUCAGCGCAGUAAGACGGAGCGAGGACCAGCCCACUGAGCACGUGUAGCCGUGCUUCCCCACCUCCAGAGAAAGAGUAGCGUUGCCACGACUUUCGCCACUGUCUCCGUUUUUUCACUCACACACUCAGAAUUACGUUUUUCUUCCAUUAGUGUAAAAUCUCACUGUUCCGUUACUUGUUUGAUUAGUAUGUUGUUUUUCUCUCUUGCCUUUUUGUUUUGUUUUCUGUUCUACUUUGUUUCCACGUCUUUUAGUUUAAAGAAUUCCCAUUUUCUGUAUUGGAAAGUAUCAAUGAAUUUCUCUUCUGUAUGUGUAGGUAGAUCAUUUGAGUUGUAGGUUGUUUUUCCUUUCCUGUGUAUAACAAGCAGAGGCACGUGUUGCUUUGCUAGUGAAAGAUCUUGACAUGUCUGAACCGAGUUCAGCAGUGUGCUUUCACCCUGUUGAAUCGUGGGUCAGAACUUCAACAUUUUUAAUGGAUUUUGUUGUUGUUAAACGUGAAGGUAUUAUGCAAAGCUGCACUGAUCUUUCGUGGCAAUUUCACUCUAAGUUUUGUAUUACCAGUGUGUAGUGAGUCUACUACAUGUGGAAGGUAAACUCGGACAAGUCAGGUGACGUGUUGGGCGAGUGUGUGUGAGCUUUAGUGUGUAUGACUGAGAAUGUGUGUAGAUGUUUUGUGUGUGCGUGCGACUGUGUGUCUGUAGACAUAUCACUUUGAAAAACAAUCCCUAUUAGCCGUAGUUCUCAUUAAGAUGUGUUUGAGACUCUUCCUCAUUUCGUUUUGGUUUGUUCCAACUCCUAGUACCUCUCCCUCUGAUAUUUCUUAAGUACUGAAAGUGUUUUUGACUCACUCAGACCUCGAGCCACAACAGUGAACAUCUUUUUGUAUUUCUUAGGAUCUAUGGGAACACAUUUAUUUUCCAGCAGUGCAAGUUUUUUUUAAUUGAAACUUUUUUUUGUCACUUUUGGACAGUAUUUCAGUUGGAAGUAAACUCUCCAAAUGGAAGAUAUGUUGGCGUAUGUUAUUUUGUUCUGGGAAAAACAGAUACAAAAACAACACAGGGAGAUGAGGGAAGAGCAGGGUGUCCGAGUAUAUGGUCGUAACUCUUAGGUUUAGCUCAGUGUGGAUGUAGCUGCUCUGGUCUAACGGUCUGACACAACCCCACCCAGUCUCCUGGUGAAACAGACACUCCUGACUGCUGUGCAGUGUGUGUCCCAGGUCCUCCCAAUAGGUCUGCCACAUACACACACCUGGUCCAACAGGAAUCUGAUUCAUCCAAAUUCAUAAUUCAAUACACUUAAACAAAAAAGUCUGCGUCAACAAUGUUCAUAAACUUCUGUUCCAUUUCUCUCUAAAUGUACAGGUCCACUUUCACUUGUAUAUUAACUGGCUCUAGCCCAGGGUAAGUGCUUCAUUUGGAACAAAGAUUUAUGAAUGUCUGGGAUUGUGGAAGAUUUUAGCAGACACCAGGAACACAUCUUGUUGUUGUCCCUCUGCAUGUAUUUCAGUGCAGCCCCUAAAACCAGCUGGAACCAACUGUUCAAAGAGAAAUGCUGUAGUACGCCUAGAAUGGAACGUGGCUGUGUAACCUGUUAACUAAUAUCCUAACCACACCCAACUCGAAUUUGGCUAGCAUUUACUAUUGACGUUAUUGUCAUUAAGGUUGUCAUUGUUGUUUUUACUACAAGGACAAUGCUAGCUCGUGAUCUGGACUUGAGGCUGGAGGGUUAAGAUCAUGUUUAUUAUUUUGAAGGAGUUACGCGUUUAGUCUGUGUUCAAACUCCUCCGUAAUGUUUCUGUGAAUUCAAAUUGGUGUGUUUUUGUUUUUGAAAUCUUUCCAUUGUAGCAGUUUUCUGUGCAUUGUGGUAUUAAGGGGCCAGAUGAUAUGAUGCUGAUUUAAUGUGAUGGACUGUAGGAAAUGCUGAAAUGCAAGUCUUUUCUGGGGGGGAAACGAUUUGUUUUGACAUAUAAAACAAGUCAAGUGGUUGCAAUAUAGUUUUUAGUACAUAUUUUGUCUUUUUUCUAUAACACUAAUGGGUAUUUUUCUAUUCCCUAACACUUUUGAAGUUGAUGUGAAUUUUUAACGUGGUGUUAAUUUUACAUUAUACAAAACUUUACGAGAUCUGUUCUAGAUUUUUAAAUAAAAAUACACUUUCUAGGAUCAAAACUUUUUUCUGAAUUUUAAAGAAAGUGUUCAACCUUUUUGAAAGCCAUAAGUGAAAGGUGGUGCUGCUCAGAACAGACCUGAUUAACUCCAAGGGGAAGCCAUUGCACAACUAGCAAUAACAGAAAACAUCACUACAAUCUCAAAUUGCAGUUCACAUAUGAACAGAAGUUCACACACAGAAAAACAUGUCAGAGGUUUACGUAGUAUCCUGCUAUACAGGCUAGAAGGUUUUUAAAUGAUUGUGAAAAUGCAUCCUGUAUGCAGGGUUGGAUGACUGUCACAGUUUCUGUAAAUGUUCUGUUGAGGGGCUGCAAUAAAGGUUUGGGACAACACCAUGGUGUAAUUUAUUCUCGUGCUUACCCCUCUCUGGGCACAGUAGUCCACCAAACCAUGCAUGGUAACACUUUUUAUACUAAGGUACCCUUUUUUUAAGUCUGUUGAAAAGGGUCAGCCGUAUGUAAACC
ensembl:lncRNA